rnacentral:rRNA from 1 species
GAGUUUGAUCUUGGCUCAGAUUGAACGCUGGCGGCAUGCCUUACACAUGCAAGUCGAACGGCAGCAUGAUCUAGCUUGCUAGAUUGAUGGCGAGUGGCGAACGGGUGAGUAGUACAUCGGAACGUGCCCUGUAGUGGGGGAUAACUAGUCGAAAGAUUAGCUAAUACCGCAUACGACCUGAGGGUGAAAGUGGGGGACCGCAAGGCCUCAUGCUAUAGGAGCGGCCGAUGUCUGAUUAGCUAGUUGGUGGGGUAAAGGCCCACCAAGGCGACGAUCAGUAGCUGGUCUGAGAGGACGAUCAGCCACACUGGGACUGAGACACGGCCCAGACUCCUACGGGAGGCAGCAGUGGGGAAUUUUGGACAAUGGGCGAAAGCCUGAUCCAGCAAUGCCGCGUGUGUGAAGAAGGCCUCGGUUGUAAG